rnacentral:lncRNA from 1 species
AUGUAUAUGAUUGGUGCAAUAAAUAACUCAAAUUUUAAUACAAUUCGGAAGUCGAAAAGCUAAUGGGGUGUUGUUUUGAAAGUUGCACCCCUCCUCUUUCCUCCCUCCAUCUCAAUGGACCACCACUCCUUCUCGCUGAGGGUCGGCAUGUGGUGGUGGGCUCGAGCGAUAGAGGAGGAGGAAGAAGGAGGGAGCAUGUGGCUGCACGAGUGCAAGCAGUAGAGACGGAUGAAGAAGGGUCAGCGGUGGGGUUGCGAGAAGCCAAAUGGCAGAGAAGGAAGGAGGGAUGGAUUGAUGGUAUGGUUGCAGGAAGG